rnacentral:rRNA from 1 species
CCUACGGGUGGCAGCAGUGAGGAAUAUUGGUCAAUGGACGAGAGUCUGAACCAGCCAAGUAGCGUGAAGGAUGACUGCCCUAUGGGUUGUAAACUUCUUUUAUAAAGGAAUAAAACGAGGCACGUGUGCCUUUUUGCAUGUACUUUAUGAAUAAGGAUCGGCUAACUCCGUGCCAGCAGCCGCGGUAAUACGGAGGAUCCGAGCGUUAUCCGGAUUUAUUGGGUUUAAAGGGAGCGUAGGUGGGUUGUUAAGUCAGUUGUGAAAGUUUGCGGCUCAACCAUAGAAUUGCCGUUGAAACUGGGUGGCUUGAGUAUGUUAGAGGCAGGCGGAAUGCGUGGUGUAGCGGUGAAAUGCUUAGAUAUCACGCAGAACCCCGAUUGCGAAGGCAGCCUGCCAGGCCCUAACUGACGCUGAUGCACGAAAGCGUGGGUAUCAAACAGGAUUAGAUACCCGAGUAGUC